AAACAUGAAGUUUGUCAAAUUUUAAGAUAAUUACUUGUUCUUGUGAAAAACUAAUUAUUUGUAAAAUUUGAAUAAUUUGCUUUAUGAGUUGAAUUAGGUCAAAUUUAAUAAAAGAUAAAAUAAUAUGAUUAUUUUAUUAGUUUUAAAAGUUUGAUCUAAAGAGUUUUAUUUUUUGAAACCUCCAUAAGUUAUGGAUAUGAAAAGGUUUUAAAAAAAAAAUUGAUUCAAAGUUUUUUUGGAGUUACAAAAUUUGGUGUUAAUGUUUUAAAGGAUUCCAUAACUUAAGAAUAAGUUAUGGAUCACCAAAAGUUUUUUGUGUUACCUUGUUUUAUGAGUGAAUUUAGAUUAAUGAAUAAAAUUAUGUGAUAGUUGGUUUUAAUCCAAAUUAAUCUAAGAAUUGAUUCUAAAAUGUGUUUUUGUAACUUGUCCUCAAGUUAUAUGAAAAGUCACAUUUAAGAAUCAUAAAACUCAUAAAAAUUGGCAAAGGUUACAAAAAUGAAGAGUCUAGUUCUAAUUAAAUGGUUUUAUGACUCCAUAACUUGUCCUCAAGUUAUGGAGGACCAAGAGUCUCUUCAUUUAAUAAAAUAAAAUAAAAAAAAAAAAAGUGUAACCUUAAUUAAUUCCAUAAGUUAUAAAAUAAAGAAAAGUUAAUUCUUUUAUUAGUUUAAAGUCUUCCAUAACUUGUCCUCAAGUUAUGGAACUUGAAGAGUUUUUGGAUUAAAACUACUUUAAACACAUAAGUUAUGGAAUUAAUUAGUUUUGAAUAGUUUCAAAACUUGCCCUCAAGUUUUGGAAUUUGUAAAGUUUUCACUUAUGAAUACUUUAAUUCCAAGUUAGCCCUUAGAAUUUUAAAAGUUAAAAUUCAACCCUUAUACUUUAUAAUAUUAUAAGUUAAUAAUAUAUAUAUGUAUAAGAGUAAAGUCAGUCUUACCGCUAGUACGCCUCAUUCACGAAGCCGGUCUAUAAGGUGGGUAUAAGGUUGUUGCCUAUAAAAUGGCAACUUAAUGGGUGUCCACUCUCACCCACCGCUUGCUUGACUGGUGGAGGGUCGUUAGCCGAACGGGUUUGACAGGACUAGAAUUCUCCCUUCAUUAAAAGUAUUAAUGAUAAUACUAAGUAACUAAACUCUUAAUAAUACCCAAUCUUAGUUACUUAGGAAAAAUGUGAAUAAGGUGCUAAUCCAUGAAAUUACACUUUACACUUUGUCUAAGUCGUUAGUGGAGCGUGUGUGGUUAACCGGCACACUAACUUGGACUUAACAAGGUAGGUAAAGGGUGACUUAAUAUUUAUCAUAGUAUCGAUGGAGCGUGUGUGGUUAACCGGCACAUCGAUUGAGGGGUAAUUUAUUAAGGGUACCAAGUGAUUUGCAUGGUUACUUCACACCUUGUUUUGUGAUCCUCGGCAUCCCAGUCACAAAACCUGAAGGGCACACUCGAGAUUGAAACAUGCCUUUGAAAAGUUCAAUGAAUCUCAAAGAUCUAGGAGUUUCAAAACCAAUUAAAACCUAAUAAUACAUUUCGUUUAUCUUGGUGGAAAUUGGUGAAUCGUCAUUCACCUACCUUCAAAUAUUUUAUAGCUUGGAUUACGGCAUACCUCUUCUAAGUUAUAAAAUAGUUUGUUGGGUCCUAGCCUUAAUAUUUCAUAUUGGGUGUCAUAUUAAGGACUUUAAAUCAACUAUCUUGAAUAUCUCCCAAAAGAUGUCUGGUUUAGACACCUAUGAUCUUCCCAAAUCUCUUGAAACAAGGUUUCCUAAUGAAGAUGAUGUCCCAUGGAUAUCAUACUUCUUUCUCCUCCUCCAAUUAUUCUCCCUAACCCACAAGUUCUUGAAAAGUUUAAGGUCACUCAAGCCCUAUUGGCAAGGCAAGGUCUAGGUGUGAUCACAUCUUGGAGAUGUAGUCACAUAUUGACAAGCCGGGAGAGUUGGGUGUCAAAGUCUUGAGAAAGUUGGUGGUUCAAUCACUUUCUAAGUCACAUAGUGAGUUCCUUUGGGACACCUAUGAAACAGACUAUGACAAGACCCUUAAUGAUCUUAUCUAUUUGCUAAGAUCAACUUCCUAAAACUUUAUGGACAUUGACAAUGAUGACAUUGGAUAUCCAGUAAAGCAUUCUCUUCCCAAUGGAAAGGGAUCGGCCAUAGUCAACUCGGUUGACCAAAUGGUAAAGAGAAAAGCUAAGUCUGUGAUAGUCUCGUGUACUAUUAUCAAAGGGUCCAUACGUUUGUAUUGCCAAAGAAAGGGGCAUUGGUUGCGAAGAUGCCAGAUUUACCUAAGGAUGUUAAAGUCAAUAAGUUUGACUCUACUUCAGGUAAAGUCCACUAUCUAACUCUGUUAAGUUUCUAUUCUGAGAUUCUUGAUACAUGAUGUGACUGGGUCACAUGGUGAUGUUUUAAGAAUCAAAGAAAAGUGAAGAAACUUAAAGAAAGAAUAUGCUGAAUCUGAUGGCGUAGAUGGAUUUCUAUCGCAUAGUUUGAAGAUCGGAUUCUUGAGCUACUUCUUAGGAGUUAUGAGAUAUUGCUUAGGAAUAGAUAACAACAAGUUUUCAUAUGGAUUGUAAGGAUAAGUUUUUCCGCAAAGUUUUAAAAUAAAAGAAAAUUUUUUUGAUUUUAUUUAUUUUAAAAUAUCCUUACAAUGGCUUUUGAGGAAAAAUUGUUGCUUAUAUGAUUCCAUUAAGAGCAAGAGUGGAAAUAUGAAAUUGAUUCUUUCAUUUGUGGUAAUGUCUAGAUUUACCAAAUAAGGAAAGAUUCUCAUCACCCAAGUUUCAAUUGGACCGGAACUUGGAAUCAUGCAAGUUGUAUAGCAUGAUGAAUGAGAACUUUCAAGUUUUGGAAAAUUAAGACUAAUUACUUGUUCACAUGGAUGUGUGAGUCAAGUAAAGGACUAAGGGAUCGAGUACACAUUCUUGUGCACUGAUUAAGUCCACCACUAAAGAUCGAUAAGAAGAAUCAAAUAAGGCAGAAGGAUAAAAGUUUCUCAAAUCUGAAAAGAUGGGAGAGUACUUUAGUAUCAGUUUUGUGAUCAUCUUAAUGAUUAAGAAACCAUAUCAAAAUUAGUUCUCUAAGGAAAUCUUAGUGCAUUCUUAUGACUAAGAAGAGGAACUUGAAUUGUUGAAAUGGUUAAAUCAAGAAGAUGAGUCAUACUUCGUUCCAAUACAAGUCUUAGAGUCAUACUCCAAGAUUGUCAUUUGAGUGACAUGUCUUAAAGAAGGUUUAAAACACUUGUCAAAUGUAAGAGUAAAAGUUUUCUACUCUUGUACAUUUGAAAUUGGUAAGUUGUGAUGUUUUGGAUAAAACAAAGACCAACUUAGGCCAAUUGGGUAAAGUGUUUUUCUUGAUUAGAAUCCGCACUAUCUCUUGGAUGUUUGACAAGGGAGUCUUAUAUGUCAAGAGGACAGUGGGAGUCUUAAAGGUCUUGAAAGUCUCAAGAAAUAAUCAAGAAUAAAACCUGAAGUUCUUCACUAGCACACGACUUGAGGUUUAUAACCUAUCGUGUUGACAUAUCUGUGCCCAUUCCAGUUAAAGUUGGCUUUGCAUAUGAGUUCUUAGAGUUCUCAGUUUGUUGCAUAACAACUUGGAAGCAAUGGCAGGCCCUUGAGCUGCCAGGUGGCAAGAAGUUAAGAUUGAGUUCAAUCCAUAUGGUUUUGGAUUUGUCAUUAUCUUUGUCUUGUGAUUAUGGUUUGACAAAUUCAUAUGGGUAGGAACUCAUACACCAUAUAAAUCUAAGUGUCAUAAGGUUUCUCUCCGAUUCAUGAAAAUGAUGGUGAGGAAACGCUUUCACUAAGUAGAUUUUACGAAGAUAUCAAUUGUGUUAUUUGCAUUUUCAAAAGUCGUUAGUGGAGCGCGUGUGGUUAACCGGCACACUAACAUGGACUUGUGAGAAAUGGCAAAUGCCUAAGCAAUUGAGACCAUGAUUACGGUAUCCCUUUUCAUGGUUCUUGAAAUUGCUUAGACACACAGGUGAGCUAUCUACGGAAAGGGUGUAUGAAUCUAAAUUUCAGACUGUCCAGCUGAUUUCUGAGUACAUGUCAAAGCUAGUGGGAGCAUAAGUGUUAUGCUAAUAAUCAUCAUGUUAGUGGGAGCAUGAUAAUUAUGAUAAGUAUUGCAAGUUAGCAAUGUUAAUUAUAGAAAACAAAAGUUUCAAUUGGGAAAAAGUUGUUUUGCUAUAAUUAAGGGAGAGGAAAUUAUGCUUCAUCUCAAAUCUAUAAGCUUAGAUCGUGAGGUUUUAAUCAUUUAGUCAAGGAUAUAUAUGAAUUUCAUGUUGGAAUGGCUCAACAUAAGGAAAUUCUGUAUAUGGGUCCAUUAUUUGCGUUCUAAAAUUCGAUUAUGAUUACGGCAUCCCUUUUCAUAAUCUGAAUUAUGAGAACUUGGCAAAUUGAAAUGGAAAUAUUAUAGCAAAAGACUGGUUUAGUCUUUAUGUAAGACAUCAUGAAUCGUGUCCCAUAUGCUUCGGAUAUAGGAUCGAUUACAUGUGCUAUAUUCAUCCGUUCUAAAAUUUUCCAAAUGCCUGGGGCAUUAAGAAGGGAAAAGGUUUAGAACUGGAUAUGACUAAAAGGAUUAAACAAUUGUCGAGGACAAUCUAAGGUUUACCAAAGAUUGGUUACUCAAGGACAAUUGGAAGUAUAGUGAUAAUUCUGGAAGGACCAUAUUGACAUAAUCUGUAAGGAGGCAACUCUUGUUCAGAAGUGAUAGUCAAAAUGGAAUCUGGAAAUGUUUCAAAGUUAGAAUUUUCAAUCUGUGUAAGAUUAAGGAAACUUAAUGCAAGAAGGAUAUUUCCAAGGAGUUGAUCUCCUUUGGAAUACUCUGUAAUGAUUGUUGCCAAGUCUUUGUGACUUUGUGCAUAAUCAUUACAAGAGGAUCAAUGCAUAUAAGUUUAGAAUCUAACAGAUUUCAGUAAAUGGCAUGAAUUUGGAAUUCUUGCAUUUGCAGUAAGGAUUUGGGAGUGUGAAAAGAGAAUCAUUGAAGUUAUGUUCAAUUGAUCUAGUUCACAAAGUAAAGAUCAUAGACAAACAUAGUAUGCAUACUUGGUGUGUGGCAUGACUAGUGUUUAAGAAAACAUAGUGUACAUGCUUGGAGCAUGGGACAACUAUUGUUUUAAAUUCAAGAAUAAAGUUGAUAGCUGAAACAGUAUACAAUGAAUAAUGUGUAAUCAUAUGGUGAUAAAUAAAAGGUGUUUUAUUUAUGUUCAAAGGGUUGAUACCAUAUUGGAUUCAAUUAUUAUUGUGUUUCACUUUGCAUGUUUUGACUUCCCGAAUAAACUAGGUUAUUCUUCCGGAAUGACUAAGUUAUUCAAACCAUCCACAGUCGGUCAUAUGUUGGAAGUAGAUAUGAAUUAAGACUGUCAUGGGUUGGCUUGUAGAGGUCUAAGGUGUUGGACAAAGGGCUACAACACUCAUGAGUGCUCAUAAGUUCUGAGUAUUGGAUUCAACCCGCGCUCAUUGGAAUCACUUCAUGGAUUUUAUCACGAGUGAUCAUGAGACGAUAAUAUCUUAUAUUCUUCAAACCUAGAGAUAUGAGUUGUUACUAUGAGUUGGUUGUACAUUGAUUGCACGAAAACGCAUUUGGUAACUCGGUGCUAUAAAACGUGCCUUUGUGUAUGAUUCAACAAGUAGUAGAACAAGCCAUAUGAGUCGAAGUUUAUCCAUUCCUUUUACCUUCGGGAUAAAAGCGAUAUCUGUGGGCCCCUCGAUGAUUUGAUGAUGACAAAUGGAAGUGCUCGGCCGGGCCAGGACUGAUUUGAUUUGUUCAAUUAGUCAGUCGUCAUAAAUCGGAAAUCGGGAAACAACAAAUGGACAGAGAGAAUGAUUAUAAUCCAUGUCUCAGUCCAUAUGAUAUCUAGAAUGGAGGAAUAUAUGAUCCCUUAUCUAAUGGACAAGUUCGUUGACAAGAUCAGAGUUCGACAGCAGCUUUAAGAGCUACGAUUGCCAGUUAGGUUUGAAGUCAUACGCAAUAAUAGUUUUAGACUUAUCCAAGUGGGAGACUGUUGGAUUAAUGUCUAAGUCCAUAACUAUAUUUGGUAUGUACUUGACCCGACCCGGCAUGGUCCAUUUGGGUUGCACUUCACCGACACAAUUUAUAUGGAUAAUCUUUUGAGAAUAGUAUGUUUAUGAUUAAUAUUAAUAUGUUAUAAGUUCUAAUAUAUUAAUAUGGAAUCAUAUUAUUUAAUUAGUAUUGAUCAAGAAUUAAUUUAUAAUUAAUUAAGUGAUCAAAAGGAACUAAUUAAAUAUGGACUCUUAUAUAUAUGGAAUGGGCCAAGUUCAUUUAGGUUGGGCUAAGCUUUCAUGGAUAGUCCAUGGAGUGUUUAACCCAUGGAUCCUAGGAAAUGAAAGGUCAUGGGUAUUAGGGUUUAACCCUAAUCCUCCAUACUAUAUAAAGAUGUCUUUGGUUGGUGAAAUUGGCACUAGUGUGGAUACACUAAAGAAGGGCUAGCCAAUUUCACUAGAGAGAACCAAGUAAUCAUAUUCUCUAAAGUAUUCCAAGGUGUCUUGGUGAUUUGUGAUUCCACUUGAGGCUUCCACACUAUUGGGGCUAAGCUCUUAAAGCUUGAAGACAUCAAGAUACAUCAAGAGGUAUGUAUUCUAUCUUGUUACAUUCAUAGUUUUUGUAUGCUAGAUUAGGAUAAUACCUUGGAUGUUCUUAUUUGCAUGUAUAAUAGAGAAAACAUAGAUCCAAGGUAUUUAGGGUUGCAUGUACACUUAGGAAGUGUUAGAAUGCUCAAAACCCAACAACAAUAACAUCUGGUGGAGCCAGGCAUAUUCAUUUAACAGAAUACAAACACAGAAUAGUGAUUUACAAAUAUAACUUUUUAUGUGAUUAAAACUACUUUUCAUAUACAACAUAAAAUAUAGGAUUUUUUGGAACAAUUUUCAUAUUUAAGAAACCGAAAACAUACUUUCAAACAAAAAUAUUUAUGCACUCGCUCAAAUUUAUGUUCAUACUCUCUUUUCAAAUUACUUGUAUUCUCAGGGAAACAAUAAACAGGUACUCCCCGAGCUUUUGAGAAGAUGGAGCUAUUUUGAGUCAUAUCUUUUGUAUUUUGCUAUAACUAUUUUGGUGUCAAUAUAUAGUGAUUGAACACAUGUAAAUACUUUUACUAUUAAAUGCAAUGGUUGUUUAUACUUUGAUUACUAUGAUGCAUGUGUUGUGAUACUACAAAUGAAGUCCUCCACCCCUGGACGUUUCCGCCGUCAGGUUUUGGGAUGUGACAAACUCUGACCCAAUCAGUGAAACAUCCUUUAUAUAAGGGAUCAUAUAAUCCUCUGUUCUUCAAGAUAUCAGCCGUACAAAUACGUGGAACAAUGUCAUACUUAUUGUGUAGCUGUUUGUUUCUCGAUUUCCGAUUUCUUUGACAGAGAACUUAAUUGAACACAUCAAUUUAGUCCCGACCAGGCCCGAUAUAUAAGUCAAAACAAAAUCAUCGAGGGGCCUAAGAUAUUGCUUUUAAUCCUCCAAGAAUUAAAAGGAACAGAUAAACUUCGACAUUAUAUGCUUGUACUAACUAUUCGUUAAAUCAUACACAACAAUGUGUUUUAUAACAUCAAGUUACUGAUGCAUUUUCACACUAUCAAUGUACAACCAACUCCUAGUGAACAACUCAUAUAUCUUGGUUUGAAUACUUAUAUGAUAUUAUCACCUCGCGAUCACUCGUGAUAAAUUCCAUGAAGUGAGGAGCAUGGGUUUAAUCCAGUACUCAUACCUUAUGAUCACUCAUGAAUGUUGCAGCAAACAUUUGCUAUGUCUAAUUAAAUACUUAAGACAAUCUACAACCCAAAUUCAUGACAGUCUUGCAUCAAUACCUACUUUUAAAGUAUGAUUGACCGUGGAUGGUUUGAAUAACCAAGGUAUUCAGGAAGUCAAAACGUGCAAAGUGAAACACAAGAAUAAUUGAAUCCAAUAUGGUCUCAGAACUUAUGAAUAUAAAUAAAACACCUUUUAUUUUAUCACCAUAUUGAUUACACAUUAUUCAUUGUACAAUGUUUCCAUUAAUCAACUUAAUACUUGAAUUAAAACAAUAAUUAUCCCAUCCUCCAAGCAUGCAGACUAUGUUUGCCUAUGGUCCUUUCUUUGUGAAAUACAUCAAUUGAACACAUCUUCAAUGAAACUCAUUUCACCGUUCCAAAUCCUUACCGUAAAUGUAAGAAUACCAAAUUCUUGUCAUUUGCUGUAAUCUGUUAGAUUCUAACCUGACAUGCAAUUAAGUGUGUUCAUUUGGAUGGAUCGGUUCAAUCCGAGCCAAUUAAGUAAAUCCAAAUUGAUUUUGGUUUUUAAAAUAUGGAUUCGAAUUGUCCAAACUAAAUUCAAAUCCGUUCCGAUCCAAUCCAAUUACACAUCGGUUGGAUCGGUUUUUAUAAUUCGGUUUCAAAAGACAUAACAUUUUAAAAUGAUAUAUAAUUAUAAUAUUAUCCAAUUUUUAUAGAAGAAGCAAAAACAAAUUAUUUAGUUGUAAUUUAUAAUUUAUAAACAGUUACUAAGAAAGUAUAUUAUAAUUUAAUAUUUAUUAGGUAAAACGAUUUUGAGAGAAAAUCAUAUUAAGUUUUUUUUAUUUGCCGAAACUUUUUGAUCUUUUUUGAAAAAAAUAAUUUAUAAAAUUAAUAAACAAUUAUAAAUAUAUUAAAAAUAAAUAAAUAAUAAAUUGUUAUUCGGUUUUUUUGGACUAUUCGGUUCUUAUUUUAUAAACCAAAACCAAUCCAAAAUCCAAAUUAAUAAUUCGGUUUUGGUGAAAUCCAAUCAAAAAAUCCGAACUAUCCGAACCAAAUAGUCCAAUCCAAAUUGUCCGAUUGGAUAAUUCGGUUUUAUCCAAAUAGUGAACAGCCGUACAUGCAAUGAUCCUUUUGUAAUGACUAUGCACAAAAGUCACAUAGAUUUGGCAAUAGACAUUACAAAGUAUUCCAAUGGAUACCAAUUCCAUGGAAAUGAAGUCUCACAUUCAAAGUACAUUGCUUUGAACAUCCUUCUUGCAUUAUGUUUUCUAAUCUUACACAGAUUUGAAGAGUAACUUCCACUUAUGGAAACAUUUCCCUACUGCCAUUUUGACUAUCACUUUUGAAAAAGAGUUUCCUCUUUUCAGAAUAUGUCAAUAUGGUCCUUCGAAAAUUUACACUAUAUGGUCCUUCCAAAAUUUACACAAUAAUUCCAAUUGUCCAUGAGCAACCAAUAUUAGGUAAACCUCAAAUUGUCCUCGACAAUUGUUUAACCAUUUUAGUCAUAUCCAGUUCUGGUCCUUUUUCCUUCUUAAUUCCCUAUGCAUUUGGAAAAUUCAAAACACAUCUACUAUAGAAUAUGCAAUCGAUCCUAUACCCGAAGCAUAUGGGAUUCAAUACAUAAUGUCUCCCAUAAAAACAUGAUACUUUACUAGUCUUUCGCUAUAAAAUUUCCACAUAUAGAAUUUCCUUAUCUUGAAUCAUUUCAACAUAACAUUCACAUAUGUCCAUGACUAAUUUCGAUUAAAAUCUCAAUCUAAGCUUUUAGAUUUGAAAUGAAGUAUGAAUUCCUCUCCCUUAAUUAUAGAAAAACAACUUUUCAAACCCUGCAACUUUGCGAAUUGAAACUUUUGUUUUCUAUAAUUAACAUUGCUGACUCGCAACACUUAACGUGAUAAUUGUGCUCCCACUAGCAUAAUAUUUACAUUCUUAUUAUCUUAACACUUAUGCUCCCACUAGUCUUGACAUGUACCUAUAAAUUAGUUGGACUUCUAGAAAUCAAUACUUAUUGACAUUCUUACCAAAGUUUAUAUUUCUGAUACGAGAUGCUUCGAUAAGACUUUAUCCAGGCUUCUCAAACUUAUACACCUUUCCUUAGAUAGAUCACAUGUGUGUCUAAACAUUUUUAGAACUUACAGCAAUAAGAGUCAAAUAUUUAGACCUUUGCCAUUUCACAUAAUUCGAACUAUGAAGAGGGAUGUCGUAAUCAUAAUGAAAUUUGAGAAUGCAAAUAUCACAAUUGCUAACUCUUUAAAAUCUACUUAGUGAAAGCGUUUCCUCAUAAUCAAUUUCAUGAAUUGGAGAAAAACCUUAUGACACUUAGAUUUUAUGGUUUAUGUGUUCCUAUCCAUUUAAGUUUGUGAAAACCAUAAUCACAAGACAAGGUUAGUAACAAAUUCAAACUCAUAUGCACUGAACUUGUUCAAUCUUAAUUCCUUGCCACCUGGUAGCACAAAGGCCUACCAUUGCUUCUAGGUUGUUAUGCAAACAAUUGAGAACUCAUAGAACUCACAUGCAUAGUCAUCCAACUGGAAUAGGCACAAAAAUAAGAGUAUCUUAACACGAUAGGUUAUAAACCUCAAGUCGUGUGCUAGUGACUAACAAUAGGUUUACUCUUGAUUAGUUCUUGAAACUCUUCAAGAUCUUUAAGACUCCCACUGACCUCUUGACAUAUAAGAUUCACUUUAUCAAGGAACGUUACGUGAAAAAACCAAUAUUCAAGAGUUAGUGCGGUUUCUUAUCAAGACAAACACUUCAAACAAUUAGACUUAGUUGGUAUUUGUCUUAUCUAAAACAUCACAACUUACCAAUUUCAAAUGUACAAGAGUAAGAAACAUUUUACUCUACAUUUGAUCAGUGUUAUAAAUCUUUCUUAAGAUUAUGUCACUCAAGGCUUGAUCUUGGAGUGACUCUAAGAUUCAAUUUUGGAACGAAGUAUGAUUCACCUUUCAAUUUAACCAUUUCAACAAUUCAUGAUUCCUCUUCUUAGCCAAAAAAAUGCACUAAGAUGUCCUUAUAGGAUCAAUUAUGAUAUGGUUUCAUAGUCACUAAGAUAAUCAUAAAACACGAGACUCAAGUAAUCUCCCUUCUUUUUAGAUUUGGAGAAACUUUUAUAUUUCUGCCUAAUUGGAUUCUUCUUAUCCGUUCUGACAUACAUUGAAACUUUUACAAUGAUUCAAAAUUACACUUAAUCUUGUAAGUGUAACCAUAUCUACCAAACCUUUAGUAAAUCAUGACGAAUAGUCUUAUCGUUCUUUGUGGUGGACCUGGCCGGCGUACAACUAAGUUUACCUGAUCCCCUAGUCCUUCACUUGACUCACAUAUACAUGUGAACAAGGAAUUAGACUUAAUUUCCCAAAGACGAAGUUCUCAUUCAUCACACAAUACAAGUUAUAUGAUUCCAAGUUUCUAUCCAACUGAAACUUAGGUGAUGAGAAUCUUUCCUUAUAUGGUAAAUUUUGACUCUACCAUUAACAAAAGAAUCAAAUCCAUUUUCCAAUAUUGCUAUUAAUGGAAACAUAUAAAAAACAAUUUUCACAAAUGCCAUUGUAAGGAAACUUAAAAUAAAAUAAAACAAUUUUUUUCUUUUAUUUAUAAAAUUGCAGAAAACUUAUCCUUACAAUGCAAAUACAUGUGAAAACUAUGUUGUUAUCUAUUCCUAAGCAAUCUAUCAUAGCUCUUAAGCAGCAGCUCAAAAUUCUGAUCUUCGAACCAUGAGAUCAAAAUCUAUCUCUUCACGAUCAAAAUCAACUUACUUUUUCUUUAAGCUUCCUUUCUUUUCUUCAAUUCUAUAACACAUCAAAAUGUAAUUACAUUACAUCAUGUAUCAAGAAUCUCCAAGUAGAAACUUAAAAGAGUUAGAUAGUGGACUUUACUUGAAGUAGAGUCAAAC
rnacentral:lncRNA from 1 species